rnacentral:rRNA from 1 species
GACGAACGCUGGCGGCGUGCUUAACACAUGCAAGUCGAGCGGUAAGGCCCUUUCGGGGUACACGAGCGGCGAACGGGUGAGUAACACGUGGGUGACCUGCCUUUAGCUCUGGGAUAAGCCUGGGAAACUGGGUCUAAUACCGGAUAUGACCCUAUGGCGCAUGUUGUGGGGUGGAAAGCCUUGUGCGGCUAGGGAUGGGCCCGCGGCCUAUCAGCUUGUUGGUGGGGUGAUGGCCUACCAAGGCGACGACGGGUAGCCGGCCUGAGAGGGCGACCGGCCACACUGGGACUGAGACACGGCCCAGACUCCUACGGGAGGCAGCAGUGGGGAAUCUUGCGCAAUGGGCGAAAGCCUGACGCAGCGACGCCGCGUGAGGGAUGACGGCCUCGG